rnacentral:rRNA from 1 species
UACGUAGGGGGCUAGCGUUGCUCGGAAUUACUGGGCGUAAAGCGCACGUAGGCGGAUCCUUAAGUCGGUGGUGAAAUCCUGAAGCUCAACUUCAGAACUGCCUUCGAUACUGGGGACCUUGAGUUCGGGAGAGGUGAGUGGAACUGCGAGUGUAGAGGUGAAAUUCGUAGAUAUUCGCAAGAACACCAGUGGCGAAGGCGGCUCACUGGCGCGAUACUGACGCUGAGGUGCGAAAGCGUGGGGAGCAAACAGG